rnacentral:misc_RNA from 1 species
GGAAGUAAGAGUCGUAACAAGGUCUCCGUAGGUGAACCUGCGGAGGGAUCAUUACAGAGUUCAUGCCCUACCGGGUAGAUCUCCCACCCUAUGUUAUUAUUACUUUGUUGCUUUGGCGGGCCGUUAGGCUCCGGCCCGACUACCGGCCCCGGCUGGUAAGCGCCCGCCAGAGGACCCAAAACCCUGAAUAUUAGUGUCGUCUGAGUACUAUAUAAUAGUUAAAACUUUCAACAACGGAUCUCUUGGUUCUG